rnacentral:rRNA from 1 species
UACGAGGGGGGCGAGCGUUGUUCGGAAUUAUUGGGCGUAAAGGGUGCGUAGGCGGUUUUGUAAGUCUUAUGUGAAAUCUCCGGGCUUAACUCGGAAAGGUCAACUGAUACUGUGUGACUAGAGUGCAGAAGGGGCAACUGGAAUUCUCGGUGUAGCGGUGAAAUGCGUAGAUAUCGAGAGGAACACCUGCGGCGAAGGCGGGUUGCUGGGCUGACACUGACGCUGAGGCGCGAAAGCCAGGGGAGCGAACGGG